GAUGAACGCUGGCGGCGUGCCUAAUACAUGCAAGUCGAGCGAAUGGAUUAAGAGCUUGCUCUUAUGAGGUUAGCGGCGGACGGGUGAGUAACACGUGGGUAACCUGCCCAUAAGACUGGGAUAACUCCGGGAAACCGGGGCUAAUACCGGAUAACACUUUGAACCGCAUGGUCCGAAAUUGAAAGGCGGCUUCGGCGGUCACUUAUGGAUGGACCCGCGUCGCAUUAGCUAGUUGGUGAGGUAACGGCUCACCAAGGCAACGAUGCGUAGCCGACCUGAGAGGGUGAUCGGCCACACUGGGACUGAGACACGGCCCAGGCUCCUACGGGAGGCAGCAGUAGGGAAUCUUCCGCAAUGGACGAAAGUCUGACGGAGCAACGCCGCGUGAGUGAUGAAGGCUUUCGGGUCGUAAAACUCUGUUGUUAGGGAAGAACAAGUGCUAGUUGAAUAAGCUGGCACCUUGACGGUACCUAACCAGAAAGCCACGGCUAACUACGUGCCAGCCGCCGCCGUAA
rnacentral:rRNA from 1 species